GGUCCCUGUGUGAUGCGGACAGUGUGGGUGGGGUGCUGGACGCUGGGCUCUGGUCUCCAUCUGCCAUUCACCACCUCUGAGACGUUAGCUGCUCAUCUUUCCUUCCACAUGCCACUUGCCUCGUUAUUCCAGAAAAAUCGUAAAUGUAGAAAAUCUUAAGUGGAAAGGUACCUAAGGUAACCUGGUCCAGUGUUUCUCAGCCCUGUUAAACCCAGUUCUGCCUGGGUAACAAAAAUACUGUAUUGUCCCACUUACUAUUCCAGGUGAUCUCAUAGAUAAUAUAACUUUCCUAUACACAAAUGUUAUGGAGAAGGAAAUGGCAACCCACUCCAGUAUUCUUGCCUGGAGAAUCCAUGGACAGAGGAGCCUGGCAGGGCUCCAGUCCAUGUGAUCAUAAGAGUCAGACAUGACUUGCGACUGAACCCCCACCACCACCACCAUACACAAAGAUUAAUUCACUUUAAAGCUGUAAUUGUAUGGAGAAAUAAAUUUUUUUAGUAAGGUAAUCUGCAUUUCAGUAUGUAAUAAUUACCCAAGAGGACAUAGUUAAGUAGCAAAAUGAUCAUAGCAAAAGUAGAAUCCCCAGGAGUGUCACAACUAAAAAUGCAGUGUGUUCACAGGUGUGUAGGUGUGCAUUGAUGUGCCAAACGCAGUGUGGUCACAGGUGUGUAGGUGUGCAUUGAUGUACCAAACACAGUGUGGUCACAGGUGUGUGGGUGUGCCUCGGUGUGACAUGCACUGUGGUCACAGGUGUGUAGGUGUGCCUCGGUGUGACAAACGCCCUGUGGUCACAGGUGUGUAGGUGUGCCUCGGUGUGACAAACGCCCUGUGGUCACAGGUGUGUAGGUGUGCCUUGGUGUGACAAACACAGUGUGAUCACAGGUGUGUAGGUGUGCCUCGGUGUGACACAGUGUGAUCACAGGUGUGUAGGUGUGCCUCGGUGUGACAUCCACUGUGGUCACAGGUGUUUAGGUGUGCCUCGGUGUGCCAUGCAAUGUGGUCACAGGUGUGUAGGUGUGCCUCGGUGUGACAAACACAGUGUGGUCACAGGUGUUAAGGUGUGCCUGGGUGUGCCAUGCAGUGUGGUCACAGGUGUGUAGGUGUGCCUCGGUGUGACAAAUGCACUGUGGUCACAGGUGUUUAGGUGUGCCUCGGUGUGACAAACACCCUGUGGUCACAGGUGUGUAGGUGUGCCUCGGUGUGACAAGUGCACUGUGGUCACAGGUGUGUAGGUGUGCCUCGGUGUGCCAUGCAGUGUGGUCACAGGUGUGUAGGUGUGCCUCGGUGUGACAAGUGCACUGUGGUCACAGGUGUGUAGGUGUGCCUCGGUGUGACAAACACCCUGUGGUCACAGGUGUGUAGGUGUGCCUCGGUGUGACAAGUGCACUGUGGUCACAGGUGUGUAGGUGUGCCUCGGUGUGCCAUGCAGUGUGGUCACAGGUGUGUAGGUGUGCCUCGGUGUGACAAGUGCACUGUGGUCACAGGUGUGUAGGUGUGCCUCGGUGUGACAAACACCCUGUGGUCACAGGUGUGUAGGUGUGCCUCGGUGUGACAAACACCCUGUGGUCACAGGUGUGUAGGUGUGCCUCGGUGUGACAAGUGCACUGUGGUCACAGGUGUGUAGGUGUGCCUCGGUGUGACAAACACCCUGUGGUCACAGGUGUGUAGGUGUGCCUCGGUGUGACAAGUGCACUGUGGUCACAGGUGUGUAGGUGUGCCUCGGUGUGCCAUGCAGUGUGGUCACAGGUGUGUAGGUGUGCCUCGGUGUGACAAACGCCGUGUGGUCACAGGUGUGUAGGUGUGCCUCGGUGUGACAAGUGCACUGUGGUCACAGGUGUGUAGGUGUGCCUCGGUGUGACAAACACCCUGUGGUCACAGGUGUGUAGGUGUGCCUCGGUGUGACAAGUGCACUGUGGUCACAGGUGUGUAGGUGUGCCUCGGUGUGACAAACGCCCUGUGGUCACAGGUGUGUAGGUGUGCCUUGGUGUGCCAUGCAGUGUGGUCACAGGUGUGUAGGUGUGCCUCGGUGUGACAAACGCCGUGUGGUCACAGGUGUGUAGGUGUGCCUCGGUGUGCCAUGCAGUGUGUUCACAGGUGUGUAGGUGUGCCUCGGUGUGCCAUGCAGUGUGGUCACAGGUGUGUAGGUGUGCCUCGGUGUGACAAACACCCUGUGGUCACAGGUGUGUAGGUGUGCCUCGGUGUGACAAGUGCACUGUGGUCACAGGUGUGUAGGUGUGCCUCGGUGUGACAAACGCCCUGUGGUCACAGGUGUGUAGGUGUGCCUUGGUGUGCCAUGCAGUGUGGUCACAGGUGUGUAGGUGUGCCUCGGUGUGACAAACGCCGUGUGGUCACAGGUGUGUAGGUGUGCCUCGGUGUGCCAUGCAGUGUGGUCACAGGUGUGUAGGUGUGCCUCGGUGUGACAAGUGCACUGUGGUCACAGGUGUGUAGGUGUGCCUCGGUGUGCC